rnacentral:piRNA from 1 species
UACAGGUAGCUACCACUGGUGUGGGCUGC